AAUGAACGCUGGCGGCAUGCCUAACACAUGCAAGUCGAACGAAGCCUUCGGGUUUAGUGGCGCACGGGUGCGUAACGCGUGGGAAUCUGCCCCUUGGUUCGGAAUAACAGUUGGAAACGACUGCUAAUACCGGAUGAUGACGUAAGUCCAAAGAUUUAUCGCCGAGGGAUGAGCCCGCGUAGGAUUAGGUAGUUGGUGUGGUAAAGGCGCACCAAGCCGACGAUCCUUAGCUGGUCUGAGAGGAUGAUCAGCCACACUGGGACUGAGACACGGCCCAGACUCCUACGGGAGGCAGCAGUGGGGAAUAUUGGACAAUGGGCGAAAGCCUGAUCCAGCAAUGCCGCGUGAGUGAUGAAGGCCUUAGGGUUGUAAAGCUCUUUUACCCGGGAUGAUA
rnacentral:rRNA from 1 species